GAUGAAGAACGUAGCGAAAUGCGAUAAGUAAUGUGAAUUGCAGAAUUCAGUGAAUCAUCGAAUCUUUGAACGCACAUUGCGCCCGCCAGUAUUCUGGCGGGCAUGCCUGUUCGAGCGUCAUUUCAACCCUCAGGCCCCGCCUGGCGUUGGGGAUCGGCGCGGCCCUCUCCGGGCUGCCGGCCCCGAAAACUAGUGGCGGUCUCGCUGUAGUCCUCCUCUGCGCAGUAGCAACGCUCGCACUGGAACUCGGCGCGGCCACGCCGUAAAACACCCCACUUCUGAAAGUUGACCUCGGAUCAGGUAGGAAUACCCGCUGAACUUAAGCAUAUCAAUAAGCGGAGGA
rnacentral:misc_RNA from 1 species